rnacentral:rRNA from 1 species
UACGUAGGUGGCAAGCGUUGUCCGGAUUUACUGGGCGUAAAGAGCGCGCAGGCGGCUGGUCAAGUCCGAUGUGAAAUCUCCCGGCUUAACUGGGAAACUGCAUCGGAAACUGAUCGGCUUGAAGGUGGGAGAGGGUAGUGGAAUUCCCGGUGUAGUGGUGAAAUGCGUGGAUAUCGGGAGGAACACCAGUGGCGAAGGCGACUACCUGGCCCAUUCUUGACGCUGAGGCGCGAAAGCUAGGGGAGCGAACGGG